ensembl:lncRNA
GAGAGACCCAAACAGACAGACUGACAGCAGGUAGAGAGACCCAAACAGACAGACUGACAGUAGGUAGAGAGACCCAAACAGACAGACUGACAGUAGGUAGAGACCCAAACAGACAGAAAGAGACUGACUUGGUCAUCCACUGUAUCUUCAGGUCUCUGAGAGCCUCUUCAAACUCCUCCUUCACAUCCUUCUCCUUCGCUCCCUCCUUCGCAUCCUCCUUCGCUCCCUCUUUCUCCUUCGCUCCCUCCUUCACCCCCUCCUUCGCUCCCUCCUUCGCUCCCUCCUUCGCUCCAUUCUUGGUCUUGUUGGGUGCAGGGAUCAGGUGAUAGACCACUGGCACAAUGUCCUUGAUGAGAAAGAUAAAACCACUGGUUAACACACUGACACCCUCUAGGACUACAUUACCCAUAAGCCUCUACAACACUUCCCCCCUGCUGUCUGUCCAAUCCCUUGUCAGUUAGAAUGCGUUGUCAUGGUGACAGAACACAGCUGUGCUGCUACAUUGACCACCAGAGGAAAUGAACCUUGUCUAACUUUGCCAGUAGAAAUAUAGUUACAUGUUGGGGCAAAUAUCUUCAUUCUUCCCCACAGUGAUUCACAACAUAAAACACCAUUUUCCUUUUGAGGAUUUGACAGAGUGAUUUCUAGGUCAUCAGUACCUUUUUAAAUUUUCCUUGUCGUUUUGCAGAGGCCUGUCCCUGGUGGUCAGAAUAACACACAGUGAGAGAGAGAACACAGGAAGGAGCAUACAGCCUCUCUUUCAUCGUUUACAACUAGUGACAAGUCAUAC